rnacentral:rRNA from 1 species
AUGUACAUCCCUACAUCAUAGCAUUAAUGCAAUGGAUCUCAUUAGAUCUUUGUAGUUAAGCGUGCUCGGAAUAGAGUAGUAUUGGGAUGGGUGACCACCCGAGAAGUCCUAGUGUUUUACAUG